rnacentral:lncRNA from 1 species
GUUUCAGUCUAAUUGAAGACUGUAAGUAAUUUAGAAUCAAAGGGAAUCUUUGUUUGACUGGCAAACAGCCGAAGGAUGAACUCUUAGCACACCCUGGUAGAUGGGAGCUGGGUGGGAAGGCAGCUUGCACGGGCUGUGCUGGGAUGGGAACGGGCUGGUGCUCUGCCUGGGUGUGCUGCUAAUGCCUCAAUCCAUCUCCUGAGCAGAGACUGAGAACAUCAAACCCUGCCACAGCCUCCAGGUGACAUAGUACUGUUCCUGCAACUGCUGCUCUUCAGCCAAGGUGACCCCCAGUUGCAGAGGAUGACUGAAGGAAUGCAAAUUAAUCGAAACAAGCUAUACUGCAGGUGGCUUAAUGUGCCCAUAGGCUCCUUUUUGAGGAGUGGGAGCUAAUAAAGUUUGUGUGAAAACCAAGAGGAGACGCCCUGCUCCCUUUGGGAUCACGCCGUGCUGCUCGGUACGGACAGUCGGGCACAGAACAUUGGCAUGGAACGUGCCCCUGGAACUGGAGCUACUUGGCCUGCUAAAGACAAAAAAAGCGAACGGCAGGAGAACUGAAAUGAGAUGUGGACGCAGAAGAAGCAAACAGCAGCACAGGGCUGGGAGAGCAGCUUUCAAAGGCUGA